AAUAAUGAUCAUAGCGAAUGAUUAUUUAUGAGGGAAGCAAGGAUGUAAGAAAUUUGGUUUGUUUGUUUUGUCAAGGCUUUUACAGCUUGUCUAUAGUGCUAAGGAAGCACAUUAAACACAGACAAGCAAUCAGAUUGCAGGAAUUUAACACACCCCUAAAUCAGCCAAUAGCAUAUACAUUCUGGCUUAAGCCCUCAAAUUAGAACCUAUGAGUGAUAGGUAUAACAACAUGUCCAAUAUAUCCUAUAUUAUAAAAGACAAGAGUUUGUCUGAAGCCGUCAUGCGCAGUUCAGACAAACUCUUGCAGCUGAUCGCACGUGCAGGGGGUGAAACAACGCAGCGCGAGGACCCGGCAGCAGAGAUGAUCGCACGCGCAGGGGGUGAAACAACGCAGCGCGAGGACCCGGCAGCAGAGAUGAUUUCACGCGCAGGGGGUGAAAUGAGAGAGAGAGAGAGAGAGAUAUCAACGGGCUUUAGGACUAGUACAUAAAUAAUUCGACAAGAAUACAAUAUAUGCAGUAGUAAAUAAUAACCUAAUAUGCAUCAUAAAGUUUGAUCAUAUAUUAAGAAAGUAUAAAUAUAGAAACAGAUGUUUUAAAUGGACAUUUUACAAGUGUUUUAAACUGACAAUUUUUUUGACUUUUUUUUUUUUUUUUUUUACAUUUCACAAAGUUUUUUUAAACGGUCAUUUUUUUUAUAAACAUAUCUACAUAAUUGGACUUUUAUUUUUGACAAUGCUCAUAUUAUUUUAGCUGAUUCUGAAAAAACAAGCAAAUUGCCUUGGUAACUAAAAGCUUUGCUAUGUUCUCUCUAACCCAGGAGAAAAAGAAAAAAAAUGUUUUCACAUCCUGUUCUACUACACAGGUGGUAAUUUCACCUGUUAAUCAGCAAGGUAUAUAACAGUCUAGGUCCUUACCUCAAACCAGUCUUGAGAGAGGUCAGGGGAGACCGAAACCGGUUGACUGGUAAGGAGUAUUUUAAUUGUGAUCACAUUAAGAAGCCAUCUGCACUAUUGUUUGCCUUUCCUUUUUUGGCAGGUAAGGGACAACAUUGCAAGUUGGAAUUAUUUGUUAACUACCGCCCAAGAAGAUUUCUACAUAAUCAGCAGUUGGGAUCCAUAUUGAGACAGACUAUAGCAAGAUUCUUAUUAUCCAAUUUGAAUAUUUAUUUGGACUUUUAAGCAUUUUAUGUUAUAUCAUCCGUUUUUUAACCCAUUGUUGUUAUAUGGUCUCUUUUAAUUAACAUCUCGAGGCUCUUUGAGCAAGUCCCUUAUAUCUAGCUCAGCAACUCUGAGCCCUUUAGAUUUGUAUUUUAGGGUAUCAAUUUAGAGCCUGUGUUCAAUUUUAAUCCAAUCACAAAGUUUUGCCACUAUUCAGUGUUUAUAACAGAUAUUUGUUCACAUCACAGUUUGCAAGCAGAAACACAUUUGAACACACGUUAAAGUUGUGCUGUUUUUUUUUUGUUUUUUUUUUGGUUCUAUUUAUGCUUUAUGUUUGCAUUAGUUGAUUUGUCAAAAAUUCACUUGUAUAUCGUUUUAUUUUGAAUUCAUUGUUUAUUUUGAAAAUAAGGUUCAGACACCCCUGCAAUAUUUUUCUCACAUUUUUUCACUUGUUAGGAUUUACACCCUUUUUGGAUAAACACAUAGGCAAAACCCCAAUUUGGAGCCACUUACAUUUCACAUCCACCGGUUUCAAGCAACCUGGAAUCUAUCCACCUGUGCAUUGUAACCCAUUGUUUUUAUAAAUAGAGUGUGCAUAAGCGCUCCUAGCAUUCACAUAUUAGAAUUUAAGUUUUAAGCGAUAGACAUUAUUUGUUAGGUUUUUUUUUUUUUUUGUUCUUUAUUGUUCUACAAGCAUUUUUAAAUUGUUCCUAUUGUUUCAAUAUAUAUUUUAAAGUGUAACAUGGAUCCAUGACUAAUUGUUGUAUAAUUUUAAAUGUACCAACUUUUUUAUCUUAUGUAUUAAAUCAUAUUAUUUUAACCCAUUGUUACCUUUGGUAUUUGACUAUCUCCCCAUAGACCCUGCCUAUGUUGUUUGGCGCUCUGAUAUCCAAUCUUAAAAUUGAGUCCCAUGAAUACUACAGGACAUUUCUAAAGGGCUAAAAAGACUUCCAAAAUCGUUUAUAGGGAAGUCACCCCCCAUUGAAUGUGCUGGAGCAGACGACAAUUAAACAGUGUGUAGUUGGACCUAAUCAUGCUGCAUUUCUUUUGGAGGAUGGAAGAAUUUGCAGAAUUGGGUUUUCAGUCCAACCAGAUAGACUGGAAUUAAGUAAACCGGAGACUAAUGAUAGGUAAGACCUAUUGGUCUCCUGAAACCAAUUUAUUUUAAAAAAAUAAACAUGUGUAUAAUUGUGUAUGUAUACUAUAUUUUUAUAAUAUAUAUUUAUUUAAAUAUAGUAGUUUUUUUGCUAAACAUUUAUUAGGCUGAAGUUCAUAUUCUGUUGGUGUUCAUGGCAUUAUUUCUUUCCUUCCAAAGCUGGCUUCUAUAUUUCUUAGAUAAAAAGUUAUAUUAGAGGAGGAAAAUGU